GUGCUCACUUCAGCACCGUAUAUAUUAAAAUUGGAACAAUACAGAGAAGUUUAGCAUGACCCCUGUGCAAGGAUGACACGCAGAUUCAUGAAGCGUUCCAUAUUUUU